CGUCACCGUCACCGUCACCAUGGCAGGCCUUUCUGGUGCAUCUGAUAUGCGGAUUAGGGCUUGCGUCAGCACUAUGGAUAGCCCACAAAGUCUACUCCACCAAUCUCAUUUCAGAUCCUUCUCAAACCCUCCGUCUGAUCUGGAUUAUUGAGGCUCCGAUUGUGAUUCUGCUUUUCAGUAUUUUCCGGAAAAAUCCAAAGGAAUGCUCGUAUUGGAAAGCUGUAGGACGAGGAUUAUUGGGGCUUCCUGCUGGUUAGUCUUUUAAAUUUUGGCUGUAAUUUGCUAUAUGUAUAUGUAUAAGAGUAUAUGUAAUGUGUAUUGACAUAUACCUGUGAAUGCAAAUAUGUUUAUACAUUUAGGGAAAGGUUAUGCUACACAAAAAGUUACUAUUUUUGUGGUGUUAAUUAGGAAUUGUAGUGAUUAAGUGGUGUUAAUUACGAAUCAUUAUAAAAAGUGUUGGUGAGAAAAGUUAUGAGCCAUUGUGGUUUUGUUAUGAAUCAUUGUAGUGUAAUUACAAAGCGGCAUAUGCUAUGCAACCUUUAAGGGGUUACCCAUAGCCUUUCUCAUGUAUUUGUUGUUUGUUAUAAAAAAAAAUAUAUAUAUA